rnacentral:rRNA from 1 species
UACGAAGGGGGCUAGCGUUGUUCGGAAUUACUGGGCGUAAAGCGCACGUAGGCGGGUUAUUAAGUCAGGGGUGAAAUCCCGGAGCUCAACUCCGGAACUGCCUUUGAUACUGGUAAUCUAGAGAUCGGAAGGGGUUAGUGGAAUUCCCAGUGUAGAGGUGAAAUUCGUAGAUAUUGGGAAGAACACCGGUGGCGAAGGCGGCUAUCUGGCCCGUAAUUGACGCUGAGGCGCGAAAGCGUGGGGAGCAAACAGG